rnacentral:rRNA from 1 species
ACAGGGAUUGCCCUAGUAACGGCGAGUGAAGCGGCAACAGCUCAAAUUUGAAAUCUGGCGUCUUUGGCGUCCGAGUUGUAAUUUGCAGAGGGCGCUUUGGCAUUGGCAGCGGUCCAAGUUCCUUGGAACAGGACGUCACAGAGGGUGAGAAUCCCGUACGUGGUCGCUAGCCUUUACCGUGUAAAGCCCCUUCGACGAGUCGAGUUGUUUGGGAAUGCAGCUCUAAAUGGGAGGUAAAUUUCUUCUAAAGCUAAAUACUGGCCAGAGACCGAUAGCGCACAAGUAGAGUGAUCGAAAGAUGAAAAGCACUUUGGAAAGAGAGUUAAAAAGCACGUGAAAUUGUUGAAAGGGAAGCGCUUGCAGCCAGACUUGCCUGUAGUUGCUCAUCCGGGUUUUUACCCGGUGCACUCUUCUGCGGGCAGGCCAGCAUCAGUUUGGGCGGUUGGAUAAAGGUCUCUGUCAUGUACCUCUCUUCGGGGAGAACUUAUAGGGGAGACGACAUGCAACCAGCCUGGACUGAGGUCCGCGCAUCUGCUAGGAUGCUGGCGUAAUGGCUGUAAGCGGCCCGUCUUGAAACACGGACCAAGGAGUCUAACAUCUAUGCGAGUGUUUGGGUGUCAAGCCCGAGCGCGUAAUGAAAGUGAACGGAGGUGGGAACCUUUCGGGGUGCACCAUCGACCGAUCCUGAUGUCUUCGGAUGGAUUUGAGUAAGAGCAUAGCUGUUGGGACCCGAAAGAUGGUGAACUAUGCUUGAAUAGGGUGAAGCCAGAGGAAACUCUGGUGGAGGCUCGCAGCGGUUCUGACGUGCAAAUCGAUCGUCAAAUUUGGGCAUAGGGGCGAAAGACUAAUCGAACUAUCUAGUAGCUGGUUCCUGCCGAAGUUUCCCUCAGGAUAGCAGUAACGUUUUCAGUUUUAUGAGGUAAAGCGAAUGAUUAGAGGCCUGGGGGUUGAAACAACCUU